rnacentral:rRNA from 1 species
GUGAGUAACCUGCCCCUGACUCCGGGAUAAGCGUUGGAAACGACGUCUAAUACUGGAUAUGAUCACCGGCCGCAUGGUCUGGUGGUGGAAAGAUUUUUUGGUUGGGGAUGGACUCGCGGCCUAUCAGCUUGUUGGUGAGGUAAUGGCUCACCAAGGCGACGACGGGUAGCCGGCCUGAGAGGGUGACCGGCCACACUGGGACUGAGACACGGCCCAGACUCCUACGGGAGGCAGCAGUGGGGAAUAUUGCACAAUGGGCGAAAGCCUGAUGCAGCAACGCCGCGUGAGGGAUGACGGCCUUCGGGUUGUAAACCUCUUUUAGUAGGGAAGAAGCGAAAGUGACGGUACCUGCAGAAAAAGCACCGGCUAACUACGUGCCAGCAGCCGCGGUAAUACGUAGGGUGCAAGCGUUGUCCGGAAUUAUUGGGCGUAAAGAGCUCGUAGGCGGUUUGUCGCGUCUGCUGUGAAAUCCCGAGGCUCAACCUCGGGCUUGCAGUGGGUACGGGCAGACUAGAGUGCGGUAGGGGAGAUUGGAAUUCCUGGUGUAGCGGUGGAAUGCGCAGAUAUCAGAGGAACACCGAUGGCGAAGGCAGAUCUCUGGGCCGUUACUGACGCUGAGGAGCGAAAGCGUGGGGAGCGAACAGGAUUAGAUACCCUGGUAGUCCACGCCGUAAACGUUGGGCGCUAGAUGUAGGGACCUUUCCACGGUUUCUGUGUCGUAGCUAACGCAUUAAGCGCCCCGCCUGGGGAGUACGGCCGCAAGGCUAAAACUCAAAGGAAUUGACGGGGGCCCGCACAAGCGGCGGAGCAUGCGGAUUAAUUCGAUGCAACGCGAAGAACCUUACCAAGGCUUGACAUACACCGGAAACGGCCAGAGAUGGUCGCCCCCUUGUGGUCGGUGUACAGGUGGUGCAUGGUUGUCGUCAGCUCGUGUCGUGAGAUGUUGGGUUAAGUCCCGCAACGAGCGCAACCCUCGUUCUAUGUUGCCAGCGGUUCGGCCGGGGACUCAUAGGAGACUGCCGGGGUCAACUCGGAGGAAGGUGGGGAUGACGUCAAAUCAUCAUGCCCCUUAUGUCUUGGGCUUCACGCAUGCUACAAUGGCCGGUACAAAGGGCUGCGAUACCGUAAGGUGGAGCGAAUCCCAAAAAGCCGGUCUCAGUUCGGAUUGAGGUCUGCAACUCGACCUCAUGAAGUCGGAGUCGCUAGUAAUCGCAGAUCAGCAACGCUGCGGUGAAUACGUUCCCGGGCCUUGUACACACCGCCC